rnacentral:lncRNA from 13 species
UAUUACUGUUUCUCUGCUGUGAAGAGAAUAUUUAUGUUUUACUUGAAGUGAUGGAAAAUAAGUACAUACCAUACCUUAAUGCUUAUGAACUUGGCCAAAUUAAAUAAUAUGAAUGUCGUACCCUACAUGAAAUGAUAUACUUCAAACCAUUGUAUGUUUAUACUACAGGAAAUAUGUAUUGCAUUAAACCAUCGUAUGAUUUUGUUUCUCGUUGUGUUUGACACCAUCUACAUAAUCGAUAUCAUAUUAAAUCGCAAAAUGCCAUUAUUCAAAGUAGAAUCACUUAGUCACAAAAGAAUCAUGAUAAAAGCAAAUAGUAUAUCCGAAAUAAUUGAAAUUGCAAUAAAAAAAUUAAAACUUCCUGAAGACAAUACUUACAAGGUAAUUAUA